rnacentral:rRNA from 1 species
AACGAACGCUGGCGGCAUGCCUAACACAUGCAAGUCGAACGAGGCCCUUCGGGGUUUAGUGGCGCACGGGUGCGUAACGCGUGGGAAUCUGCCCUUAGGUUCGGAAUAACAGCUGGGAACGGCUGCUAAUACCGGAUGAUAUCGCGAGAUCAAAGAUUUAUCGCCUGAGGAUGAGCCCGCGUUGGAUUAGGUAGUUGGUGGGGUAAAGGCCUACCAAGCCGACGAUCCAUAGCUGGUCUGAGAGGAUGAUCAGCCACACUGGGACUGAGACACGGCCCAGACUCCUACGGGAGGCAGCAGUGGGGAAUAUUGGACAAUGGGGGAAACCCUGAUCCAGCAAUGCCGCGUGAGUGAUGAAGGCCCUAGGGUUGUAAAGCUCUUUUACCCGGGAAGAUAAUGACUGUACCGGGAGAAUAAGCCCCGGCUAACUCCGUGCCAGCCGCCGCGGUAACAC